UAUACAAAAUAAACCUCCCCUUAGGUACUAAGGAACUUUCACUACAAGAAAAAGGUCUAUUUAAGACCAACUUUUAGGGAAGAGUAAGUAUUUUGGUCUUUAAAAGUAUACUUAUUAGGACGAGAUUAAAUUUCGAUCCUUAAUACUAUAUUUUAUUGUGAAGGUACAAAAUCCGGUCCCUAAUGUUUUUUUCAACUUGUCUCAAAUCUUUAAUUAGGAGCUUUUCAGUGGGAAAACUAGAGCCAAAAUAAAUGUUAAAAUUUUAAUAAUUUUUAUGUUAUUUCACUAAACUACUAAUAAGCGCCAAAAUUUUAAUAAUCAAUUACUUUCUCAAAAUAAAAAAGUACUCUUCGAAUAAAUAUUCUCGCCUCUAGCACGAACAAUUUUGCAUAUAUACAGACGAAGCAAUCUGGUCGCAAAUCGCCUCUACCAUCGCCGUUGACAAGAUUCAUUUUCAAUCAAUAUACUCAUCAAUUUUUCUGUGAGGGGGUAGAUUUUCCAAUUGCUUCUUCAAUUGUGCGGGUUAUUACAGCUAAUAAUUUGCCCUAAUCGCUAUCUCUAUUGCAAAUUUGAGGUAUGAUAUCUUUUCUAUUUGAUAGAUCUCUUAGAUCGGUUCAGCACAAAAUGCAUCAAAGAAUUGCGUGUUUAUGAGCUAAAUAAUCUAUUUUUAGGUGUUUCUCAUAAAGUUUUUUUUUUUUCCUCAGUUUUUGGGGUGGAGUUGUUUGAUACAAUGCAUUCAAGAAUUACAUGUUUUUGAGCUAAAGAAUACAUUUUUAGGUGUUUCUCAUUAAUGUUUUUUCCUUAGUUUGUGAGGUUGAGUUGUUUGACAGAAUGCAUUCAAGAUUUACAUGUUUGUGAGCCAAAGAAUUCAUUUUUUAUGUGGUUUUCAUUACUGUUUUUCCUCAGUUUGUGGGGUUAAAGGGGUGCCUUACAAUAACUGGUAAAGUUGUUGUCACGUGACCAGAAGGUCAUGAGUUCAAGCUAUGGAAAUAGCCUGUAGCGGAAGUACAAUAUACCUUUGUGGUCCCCAGACACAGCGGGAACUUUAGUGCACCUGCUGCCCUUUUUUAAUUUUUUUUGUUUUAAUAAUCUCAGUUCUUUGUUUGAGUUGUUUGACAGAAUGCAUCCAAGAAUUGCAUGUUUAUGACCGGCUAAAGAAUCCAUAUUUAGUGCUUUGAUUCAGAGGAAAGAAUAGGGUGCUGAAAAUAAGCUCGGUGUAUGGAGAGGAGGCAUCUCAAUAUGGUGAUAAUCACGAAACAGUUGCACAUGAUGACAAAGAGAAGAUUUUUGUUACAGUUACAUUAAGUCCAUUGAAUGAGAUGGAAGUUACAAAUAAUGACCUCUUGGAUUGGGAAUGCAUCAAUAACGCCAUAAUUUUAUAUAAAAAUUCUAUAUCAGAAUUUUCAUCUACUCCAAAUGCUUAUGCGUAUGAAAGAGUAUUUGGGUAUGAAUCCACCACAAGGGAGGUGUAUGAGGAGGCCACCAAAGGAGUCGUGCUUUCAGCUCUUAGUGCGAGUAUCUUCGCAUUUGGGCAGAUAAGUAGUGGAAAAAUGUAUACUAUGUCUGGAAUCACCGAAUACACUUUAAUUGAUAUAUAUGAUCAUAUAAGCAGGAAUGAAGACCGACAAUUUAAACUUAAAUUCUCUGCCAUGGAGAUAGACAAUGAUGUUGUUAGAGACCUUCUAACACCAGAUGAUACUCCACUUAGACUCCUUGAUGAUCCUGAGCUCUUGUUCCGCCUCCUGAUUACCGAAAGGCAGAGUAUAAGGAGGAUAGAGUUCUUGUUGAUCUUAAAGUUCCUGUAAGCAUAUCUUAUCCCGUGAGCUUCAAGUACACAUGUACCAAUAUGGUUGUGUCCUCUUUACUUGUCCCAUAUGAUUCUAUCCUUAUGCAUCUUUGAUUGCAUUGCAGCUUUAUAGAUUACAGAGCUUACCGUUAAUAAAUCUAACUCGUUUCUCUAUAAAUAAGCUCUAGAAAACUUAGAAACAGACCCUGGGCUCCAUCCUUUACUUCCUUAUUUCACAUAUUUUGUUGCUGAUUAGGUAUGUAUAAGUCACUUCAAGUUCAGUAAUGUUACAUUUAUAGGUGAGAGAUAAAUAAUGUAAUGAAAUUCUAUUUUAUGUCAGGUUGCACGGAAUUUGAAUAAUUUUGAUCUCUUUUUUGCUUUGGUGAGGCUGGUCUGGAGCCUUCUUCAGAAUUUUCAUUUACAUUUUGAACCAUACCUGCACCAGUCGAUGUCGUCUGUGAUGACAUGUCUUGUGGAGAAAAGGUUUGGCAAUAAAUUCUCUGACAACCAUUGGGCACUAAGGGCCUUCACAGAAAAGUUGGUUGCUUUAGGCGGCAGUAGAAUGAUGUCAAACAUGAAAAAAGAUAAAAAUUGAUGUCACGUGUUCGAAUUCUUAGUAUGUUAUUGUGUUCAGGUUUUUCUGUUCCUCGUUUGGGGUUUCGGUUGUUGCAAGAUAAGCUGCGAUUCAGUUAUGAGAAUGAGCGUAAAUCUUUGCGAUCUGUUCUUAUAUGAGGCUUUUCGUUAUUAAAAUCAUCUUCUUCUUGUGGUGCUCUUAUAUGCUGCUUUUGCCAUGGCUCUGAUUUUUCCAUUUGAUAUAUUUUAUUUAUCAUCUUGCUACUUUUUUUAAGGACUGUUUGGCGGAUAGUUUUCCCAUUCCAGAUUUUUGAAGAUUGAAGUUACAAGAGAAGAUGCAAGUUUAGAUGAUGCACAAGCUUAUUAUUAUUUUUCUAAGAGCAUUAUGUAAAGCUUGACAUCAUAUUCUAGCUCGGGAUGUUAAUUUGUUAAGUUCUUUUGUUUAAAGAAUAUUGAAACUAUUGACAAUAUUCUAGCUCGGGAUGUUGAUUGGUUAAGUUUUUUAUUGUUUAGCAAAUAUUGAAAUUAUAUUUAUUAUACUUUG